rnacentral:hammerhead_ribozyme from 1 species
AUCUAGCUGACGAGUUCCAAAUAGGACGAAACACGCAUCCUGGAU